rnacentral:lncRNA from 1 species
ACAGGAAGAGUUAUAGGAAAUUCAGCAAGUAACACAAAACACCAAAACUCAAAAACACUACUCAGCAGAUAUUAGAACACUUAUAUACGACAUGCUUGUGUGUUAAGUUCCUGGAUUCAUUCACACAGUUCAUUUUCUACACAAUUCUGCAAUACAAACUUCGCUACAAGGAUGCAAAAGUGAUCCAAAGGGUUUUGGGUUCUUUUUGGACCAACACGAGUUGCCCAGAAGAUUGCUACCACACUAUAGAGGGAACAGAAUACAUAUGCUUUUUCACACAUGUGGUACUUUGAUCUAUAAUUAUUCCAUAUUGAAGAUAUUUUUGUGUUCUGGCUUGACAUUAUGUGAAUGUCUGCAAAAUGGUUUGUUUCAAGACUUUACAUCUGAAACAGGUUUUAACUAAUAGCAUGCUAAAAGAUUGCAAUUUCCUACUAUCUUAAAGUCCUCAAGAUUAUAUUUAAUAA